rnacentral:rRNA from 1 species
GAUGAACGCUGGCGGCGUGCCUAAUACAUGCAAGUCGAGCGAACGGACGAGAAGCUUGCUUCUCUGAUGUUAGCGGCGGACGGGUGAGUAACACGUGGAUAACCUACCUAUAAGACUGGGAUAACUUCGGGAAACCGGAGCUAAUACCGGAUAAUAUUUUGAACCGCAUGGUUCAAAAGUGAAAGACGGUCUUGCUGUCACUUAUAGAUGGAUCCGCGCUGCAUUAGCUAGUUGGUAGGUAACGGCUUACCAAGGCAACGAUGCAUAGCCGACCUGAGAGGGUGAUCGGCCACACUGGAACUGAGACACGGUCCAGACUCCUACGGGAGGCAGCAGUAGGGAAUCUUCCGCAAUGGGCGAAAGCCUGACGGAGCAACGCCGCGUGAGUGAUGAAGGUCUUCGGAUCGUAAAACUCUGUUAUUAGGGAAGAACAUAUGUGUAAGUAACUGUGCACAUCUUGACGGUACCUAAUCAGAAAGCCACGGCUAACUACGUG